AAAAAAAAAAAUAUUGCUUGAUUUUAACAAUGGAUCUUAAUUGUGGAAAUGUUAUGUGUAUCGCUUGGAAUGAUCCUUUCCCUCUUUAUGGGUGCUCUGUUUUCCUCCUUUUUUUUUUUCGUUUCGAAGCGUUAACUACCAUUGUCUACUGUAGAAUACUAGUUGAGCUAGCUUUUCUUAAGCAGUUAAUUACCUUUGGCCUCUUUUCAUCAGCAAACUCAGACUUGUGAGUGCUGAAUGAAGUACGUACUAUUUAUCUUGUGAGCUAGGGGCCGAGGUGGAUCUAGGAAUUAUAUUUGAUGGUUCAACCUCUAGGUCUUGCUAUUGUAUCCAUUACAUUUUUAAGUUGAACCUGUAGAUGAUGUGCUAUAUCCGCCACUAGCUAGGGGUUGAUGCUUUUACCAGGUGAAACUAGUAUAAAAGUGCCGAUCACGAAUUAAUUGAGGGUCCAACAUGUUGGAUCCAUAGCAAUGGAUUGGUAUGAUUUUCACUAUCUUCUUAAUUGUCUAUGAUGUGUCAAUGUUGUAGUUAUGGUAAAGUAUAAACAGUUCAAGUUUACUUGUCUUCUACCUUUUUGGAAAUUUAAGCUGUUGUGACUAUCUGUGACCAUUCCUUUUGGUGAUAAUCUGUUAGUAUUUUUUUCUUGCAGCUUUGGAGGACAGUGCUACUACUACCUUUCAAGCUUGUGACCGUGUUUAUUCAUGAAGCUAGUCAUGCUAUAGCUUGCAAACUUACCUGCGGCCAUGUUGAGGGGAUACAGGUUCAUGCUGACGAAGGUGGCACUACACAAACACGUGGUGGCGUAUAUUGGUUCAUCUUGCCAGCUGGAUAUCUUGGUUCAGCAUUUUGGGGAAUGGUAUUAGUGCUUGCAUCCACCAAGCUCCUUACAGCAAGAAUUGCAGCAGGAUGUUUACUGGUCACACUAAUUGUUGUUCUUUUUGUGGCUAAAAAUUGGACACUCCGCGGCCUUUG